AUGACAACGUGAAAGAAAUUUGUUUGAAAUCUUGGCAAAUUUAUUAAAAAUAAAAAACAAAAAUCACAUGUACAUAAGUAUUCACAGCCUUUGCCAUGACACUCACAAUUGAGCUCAGAUGCAUCCUGUUUCCACUGACCAUCCUUGUGAUGUUUCUACAACUUCAUUGGAGUCCACCUGUGGUAAAUUCAGUUGAUUGGACAUGAUUUGGAAAGGCACACAUCUGUCUAUAUAAGGUCCCACAAUUAACAAUGCAUGAAAGAGCGCAAACCAAGCCAUGAGGUCCAAGGAAUUGUCUGUAGACCUCCGAGACAGGAUUGUAUCGAGGCACAGAUCUGGGGAAGGGUACAGAAACAUUUCUGCAGCAUUGAAGGUCCCACUGAGCACAGUGGCCUCUGUCAUCCGUAAAUGGAAGAAGUUUGGAACCACCAGGACUUUUCCUAGAGCUGGCCGCCCAGCCAAACUGAGCGAUCGGGGGAGAAGGGCCUUAGUCAGGGUGGUGAAGAAAAACCCGAUGGUCACUCUGACAGAGCUCCAGCGGGUCUCUGUGGAGAGAGGAGAACCUUCCAGAAGAACAACCAUCUCUGCAGCACUCCACCAAUCAGGGUAUGGUAGAGUGGCCAGAGAGAAGCCGCUCCUCAGUAAAAGGCACAUGACAGCCCGCCUGGAGGACUCUCAGACCAUGAGAAACAAAAUUCUCUGGUCUGGUGAAACAAAGAUUGAACUCUUUGGCCUGAACCUAUAAGUUAUAUGAUUAAUUGAAUGUAUAGAAAUUUGUCACACAUUUUGAACCUUUUCUGUCUGUGCACGAGAAUGCAUAUUCACUUCGUUUUCAUAGCAUGUUAAAUUGAUCAAAACUUUGAAAGUUAUAGAAGGUGUAAAAAGAAAAAAUAUGUAUAUGGGGAAAACAUGUAGCAAAACACAUCCUGUGACACAUACUAUGGUAUGUACAGGGUGCUCAUAUGUUGAUCCUAAUAUCACAUUUAUGCAUGUGAAUUAUAGGGAAGGAUGUUUGAACCAAUAUGAUGUAUGGGUUAAAGAAUGUGCUUUCCCUGAAAAAGGUAGUUUUAGACAGUUAGAACAACUGAAACUUAAUUUAGAGACAAAGGAGAGAGAGACCCCUAAAACAAAGAGCGAAGUGCAGUUUUUGGCUGACUGGAAGGCAUUUGCUGAAUGGCAGAGUGAUAAAAGAGAGAUAUAAAAGAGAGAAAAAAUGUCAGUCAGGACCCUCAUCUGUUUCACAGAGUGCUAAAUUGCAGAAAGCCGAUCCCGACCUGGACUCCGCCCCACUGGGACGCCCACGGCCAGUAAGGAGGAGGAACCUGCAGUUUCAGAGGCUCCUCCUCACGAUGAAGCGGCCCAGCCUACGCCAGUCCAUCCGAACCUGUCAAAACUGAGCCACCAACCCCCACCGAACUAUGCUCCAGCCGUCCUAGCUUCACCGGUGGCGUUACACACGAGAUCCCAAGUGAAGGGACCAACAACAUUGCUGCCUGAGGGCUUCAGACCAACAAAAUCGGACAGAGAAGGGACAGUGCACGUCGUAGUAAAUGCCCCAAUGCUAGAAGUGGCCAGAGAAGGAGGCCCUAUGCUAGUUCACAGACCCUGGACAUUGGAAGACAUCAGGAGCAGCAUGACGCAUCUGACGCAUCUACAAGUAGGAGGACGAAAGUUUGGGGAUGAACUUCAGAUGUUCUGCAGAGAAUUCAGACCCACCACUCAUGAACUACGAUGACUGCUCAUGGCAAAACUUGGCACAGACAGAAUGGUUUUCAGUCAUAGAUUUAGCUAAUGCGUUUUUUCAGUAUAUCUCUUGAUAAAGACAGUUUCAGUUUGCAUUCAUAUUUGACGGACGUCCUUACACUUUCACUCGCUUGUGUUAAGGGUAUUGAGAGUCACUAAUACAACCAAAUGCUAAAGGACAGCUUAGCACCUCUACCACUUUCUCCAGGGCACAGUGUGAAACUGACACCAUUAAGUUGUUGCAGCAUCUUGCCAAAGAAAGCCACAAAGCCAGUCUCUCCAAAUUACAGUAUGUACAACAAGAAGUGAGAUUUCUAGGGCACGACAUCUCCACCAGUGGAAGGAAACUCUCUGCAGACAGUAUCUGCCAUUCAGAAGAUUCCCAAGCCUCUGACGAAGAAACAGGUUCUAUCUUUCCUAGGUAUGUGUUCGUAUCGCAGAACUUUCAUACUAAACUAUUCCAUUCUAGAAGCACCGCUCAGAGAGAUGGCAUAUGCGACAGGUUGGACAGCUCAUUCUCAGGUAAGUUGGAUCGAGUCGCUGCAGAAUAUCCCCCAUGUGUACGUGCAGUAGCAGCAGCUGAGAAACCUGUGGUGGCAUCCAGAGACCUGGUAGGUUACUCAAAAUUGAACCUCUUGGUUCCACAUGAGGUGUUGUUACUCCUACGUGAACAGAAAACCUCACACCUGUCGACCCAACUGUGGCUGCACCAUAUCACUAUACUACUAGACAUGCCGAAUGUCACUAUAAAACAAUGUACUGUCCUUAACCCUGCUACUCUUCUUCCAUCAGAGGGAGAUGGAGAACCACAUGACUGUGUUUACUGACUAACGAAUUCUGCUCCCCUAGAGUUGACCUGAAGGAUGUUCCAUUGGAAAACCCAGAUCUGAUCCUUUUUAUGGACGGGUCAUCGUCACGUGACCCAGAGACAGCAGAAAAAGGCAGCACUUCCAGCUCCAGCCACAGGCCCGCUGCAUGAUCUGAAGCCCAGAGAGUGGAUCGUGAUCAAGGACUUCCACAGGACCAGGUGGAACAAGCCACGGUGGUCUGGGCCCUUUCAGGUUCUCUUUGUCACUCAUUCAGCAGUGAAAGUUAACCAGAGAGCCACAUGGAUGUGUGCGAGCCACUGCAGGAGGGUGCCAGAGCUGGAGAAGAUGGGACUGCAAUAGGAGAACUAGACCGUAAUUCUCUAUCAAGAGGCCUCUAGGAGGACCUAUGCUCACGAGCAACGAUCUGCAUAUACACAUCCACACACAUCAACAUACCAAUCCCACGCGACUCCACGAUAGACGGUCUUAAGUGGUAUCUAGUAGCCUGCGAAAUCACGGACAUGUAAUUUUUGGAGAAAAUGUUGACGACACGGAAACUGUACUCUUAGGAGGACUGAACUUCAUUAGUGCGUACUAUAUAGCCACGUGGCCAGGACAGAGGUUAGACGACGUGACUUUGCUACCGCACCUCUUACGCCCCAAAGCUCCCUGACCACAGACUACUGUUGCAGACUAGACACAAAUCAUUAGAUGUCAACCUGCACAUCCACUCAUACAUACAAACCUAUUCCUAAUUGUGCAUCCUUCUCCUGGUAUAGGUGAUAUCUGUUAGUAAGCCCUGUCAUAGAAAUAAACUCACAAAUCACCGGGACCGUUCCUGACAACACUGAGGGUCCGGGGGUAGACCCUUAAGCUGAAAAGAUAAACCAAAGCAUGAUAUUGAAGUUUAUUGGUUGGAAGACUUAAUGAUGAAUUAUGCCAAUCACAUCGUUGCAGCAGAAAGAGUGCAUGACGCACACACUUUUACCCAAAUUUGGUAUUUAGCUGAUCGUGGUGACGGGACUAAGUGCCUAAGGUGAUGUGAUUUCUAUAGGUCCCACAUAAGCCUGCACAGUUCUUUAGUAGACUAUUGCUGCAGAUUGGAUGACAAUUAGUAGUUAAAAGCCCGUAUGCCAAGAUAUUGGCCACCUCUGUAAACCGUUCUGUAUCGCUUUUUGUCAGAAGAAUCAUUGCCAACAGUGCUACCCACACAACAUCACACGUCCCCUCGUCACGCAGGCACAUAAUGGUUAUUCUAUCUAUGUGUUAUUGAACACAUGCGGUGUGUGAUACGCAACCCUCCGCACUAGCGAGAUGGGGCUUGAUUGGUUGAACUCCGUUUUCAGGGGCUAGAGGUCAUGGAUACUGACUUUUUGUGUUCCUAUAGUCACCGUCAUUCUACUUGUCUUAAUCAUGGCUCCAUGUGUAAUUUCCUGCAUGCGGGGGUGUUUCCUCCGCUCAUUAAGUGCAAUGACUGAUGACCAAACACUGAUGCUAAUUAAAACGUCCACAAAAAGUGACUAUGACCCUUACGAAGACCUGUUUCAUGAUGAAUUCAGUUGAACCGUGAAAGGAUUCUGAAGUUCUGAUGUAUUCACAGCAUAGCAUAAAAUUAACUCUUAAUUUUAGUUAUCAUAUUUUGUAAUGAUAAAAUGGGGGAAAUGUGAGGGAAAUUACUCAUUUUUACUUUGUAAUAGUUUUGUUCUUGUUCAUUUUCUGUUCAUCUGAGGAUAAUGCCUAAGAAGGCCAUGUCAUGUCACUGAGAUCAGUACAGAAUGUUUAUCUGCUUACAGAGACACAAACAUGUUCUUCUGUUCAAGGCUCGUCUGCACAUCUUCCAAGACCCUAAAACAAAGCCUGUUUGAACUCCCUCAACCUGCUUCUUAUCGGUACACAGAAGUGUGUCAUGGUCUACUUUUCAUAUAUAUGGUAGUGGUUCAGCACAAGCGCUUCAGAGCGCUCUCAUUAUUCUAUCCUGCUUUAUUCUAUCCUGUAUUAACCAUCUUUCUGUAAUAAACCUUUUUACGUUCAGGGGA